UAUGGUGGUUUUAGCAGAGGGGCUCACCUGUUCCCAUUCCGAACACAGAAGUUAAGCCCUCUAGCGCCGAUGGUACUGCUAACGCGGGAGAGUAGGUCGCCGCCAGUU
rnacentral:rRNA from 2 species